CAAUAAGUUAGUUGAUCUGCUAGUUAGACCCAUAAUAAUGCAUUUUUUAUGGUAGUAAGCAAGUGAUUCUACCGCGAAGUCAAAAUAAAUUAGUGAGCAACGUCGAUGGAAAACUUUAAGAUCUUUUUUUUGUUAGCUCUUCUAUUUCUUGGCCUUAACUUAGGAAGUCCCAGAAAGUUAACUAGAACUUGUGGAAUGGGGCUGUGCGUAUCUGUAAGAAAUAGCUGCCCUCGAGUAACGGGAAGGUGCGUCCAAAAGAACGAAAAAUGUUGUAAAGUUAGAUGGCAUUGGGAAUCGAAAUGAUAUAAGUAAUUAAAAUAAAACUUGAUUCCAAUACGAAA